AGACGGAGGUGGCAAACGCUAUUCGGAAUUACUGGGCGUAAAGCGCGCGUAGGCGGUUUGGUAAGUCGGAUGUGAAAGCCCCGGGCUCAACCUGGGAAUUGCAUCCGAUACUGCCUGACUAGAGUAUGGUAGAGGCAAGUGGAAUUCCCGGUGUAGCGGGGAAAUGCGUAGAUAGCGGGAGGAACACCAGUGGCGAAGGCGGCUUGCUGGACCAAUACUGACGCUGAGGUGCGAAAGCGUGGGGAGCAAACAGGAUUAGAAACCCUAGUAGUCC
rnacentral:rRNA from 1 species